rnacentral:rRNA from 1 species
UCAGACGAUGCGUCAUGCAUAUCAAUAAGCGGAGGAAAAGAAACUAACAAGGAUUCCCCUAGUAACGGCGAGUGAAGCGGGAAGAGCUCAAAUUUGAAAUCUUAAAGGGUUUCCCUUUACGAAUUGUAGUUUAAAGAAGUGUUUUCUGUUGAGGUUUUGGUAAAAGUUCUUUGGAAUAGGACAUCAUAGAGGGUGAGAAUCCCGUAUUUGACCUUUACUUUCAACUUUGUGAUACACUUUCAAAGAGUCGGAUUGUUUGGGAAUGCAGUCCAAAAUGGGUGGUAAAUUUCAUCUAAAGCUAAAUAUUGGCGAGAGACCGAUAGCGAACAAGUACCGUGAGGGAAAGAUGAAAAGAACUUUGAAAAGAGAGUUAAACAGUACGUGAAAUUGUCAAAAGGGAAGCGUUUGACACCAGUGUUGUUUUUCUGAAAAUCAAUUAAAGAACUGUUUAUGCUAAGCUGUUUAGACUUUAUCAGCUAAUCUGUUUAGUUUUGAGCUUUUCUUUAAUGCACUUUUCAGUUAACAAGUCAACAUCAAUUUCUUUUGCUGUAAAAAAGCUUGAGGAAGGUGGCUUGAGAUUCGUCUUAAGUGUUUAUAGCCUCUUGCCUAUGCAGUCGGAGAGAUUGAGGUCUGCAGCGUAGAUCCUUCGGGGCUAAAUGCAUUUGUGCUAAGUUAUAGCAUUUUAUAGACAACUUGUUGACUAUGAUUUGUCUUGUAGCUUACUCGCUUAUGUUAUUUUACCUACGCUUAGGAUGUUGACACACGCGCGUGCUCG